ensembl:lncRNA
GUGUCAGGUGGAGACUCGCGCUGCGUUUCUGUUCGCGAUGGAAGUGUGUCGUCUGCUGGGCCGCGAGGAGAACAGGAGCGCUAGCGACAGAGACACACUCCUGCUGCGGCUGCUGACGCCCGUCGCCAAACUCUACACCGCAAAACAGGUCUCUCUCUCACACACACACUCACACACACACACACACACACUCUCUCUCACACACACACUCUCACACACACACACUCACACACACACACACACUCACACUCUCACUCUCACACACACACACACACACACACACUCUCUCACUCACUCUCUCUCACUCUCACUCUCACACACACACACACACACACACACACUCUAACACUCUCUCUCUCUCUCUGACACACAGACAUGAGAAGGAAUCAGGAUCAAGUGGAGAGUCACAGUCUAGUAUGGUCAUAUGAACACUGGACUGGUUUAGUCACCAUGAGAAACCUUAUUCUAACCUGGACAUUUCUCUUUAUUUUACAUCUGACCAAAGAGGACACUUCAGUGCAAAAGCUGAGUGCCCCAGAAAAGCAUUUUCUUGUGCUGAUGUGUUCUGACGCUUCAUAUGUUAACUGGAGCCAUGGGCUGGAAAGGAUGAUUGCCUCUAGACAAAGAAAGCAGGUGUCUUACCUGGACCAAAGCAAACACCAGCUGCUUGAAGAUGGCCAGCUCUCCAUUAAAGACCUGCAGGAAUCAGACGCAGGAGAAUAUUACUGCAACCAUCAGCUAGUGGCAGAUAUCACUGUGCUCAAAGGUCAUAACUUUACAGUUCCUGAGGGCACAACUGUUUAUCUUCCAUGUAAGACAUCUAAUAAAAUGAAGCAGAGAUGGGCAUUCAAACGCACUCCUCAGUCCAGAAAAGAGUUCAUCUCCACGCUUUAUAAAAACAGCACCAUAAAGAAAGAGAGAGCUGAUCCAACAUUAAGAUUCACUCACACCACAGAUGACCUGAUUAUCUCAGAUCUCCAGCUGCAGGACUCUGGGAUUUAUCUGUGCAACAACAGAGAGAUGGCUUUCCUUACGGUGACCACAGAAUCGACUGAAAACAGCAGUCCAGAUAUAAAUAAAUAUGUGACAGUGGCCGUCCUGCUGGCUUUGUGCAUACUGGCGAUGGUUUGUGUUGGCCUUCUGUCAGUGACGAUCUGCUGGAAAAGCAGGAGAAGGAGAAGAAACAUUAGAAAAGAAACAGGGCCGACAUACAUUGCAUCAGGUCUACAAUUACAAAGGAUGUCAAAUGAAGGCCCCUGGAUGUUGGACACUCAUGAGGAUACAGGAGAAAUCCAGUAUGCGUCUCUGGGUGGGCAGCACUGGAGGCAGACAGACAGACAGCUGAGCAGCAGACAGCAUGUCAUUUACUCCACACUGACCACGUCAUGAAAACAACACACUCAUUUACACUGGAUAUGUACAGUCCAUAUGAGUCAUGUUCACUGAUAUGUAAAUAUAAACCAAAUACACUUAAAACACCUUACAUAGAACUGAAAUCACUGUCUUAGCUUUAUUGUCAUCCUACAAAAGCUAGCUUAUAUAGAAACAAACAAAUGAAAAAGAAACCAUAGACUAUAGCAGGCAUAAUAUAGUAACAUAGCACAUGUAAUAUACACUACCAUUUAAUAUAUAUAACAACGAUACUAUAAACUGGUGACAGUAAAUACUUUUAUAAAAUCUUACAAAGAAGUCUAUUUUAAUAAAUGCUGUUUCCUUGAAAUUUUUAUAUAAAGA